CCUGAUGUACACUUAACAUAGUGAACUUGUGUGUUGUGUACUAUGUAACUGAAUCAGCAAAUGUAGUUUGUUCGUGAGUAUAGUUAAACUGGGUGAAGAAAUAUGGACUCUUCAAACGCAUUACAUGUACAAAAAUAUAAACAUGACACUCUGAGCAAUAAAUAUAAGUCUACAAGUCAUAUAGAUACAAUAUAAAAACUGCAUCUUUACAGCACAUAAUCUAUUGCUUGCCCCUUCAAUGCUUUACAUUCUUCUAGUAGUUUUGUGUGGUAAUGGAAUAAGAGAACCAGGAGAGACUUGUGACUGUGGAAGUUUAGCUGUAAGUCUGUGAGUGUGUGCGUGUUCCUGUUCCUUUAUGUGUGUGAGUGUGCCUGUGUCUGUGUGUGCUAAAUUAUGAGUAUGUUAUCAAUUUCAAGAGUGCAAUGAUCCACGCUGUAAUGCCACUACAUGUGAAUUGGCCAGUACUGCCCAAUGCAGAUCUGGAGUUUGCUGUGAAAACUGCCGAUUCAAGUUCUGUGGUACUACAUGUCGUAAUUCAUCUGGUAUGUGCGACAUAUUAGAAUAUUGCACUGGUCAAGAUACUGAUAUUUAACACUAUAAAAUGGAGUAUCAUGUGAUAAUAAUACUGCUUAUUGUUACAAUAUGGUACAUGUGGAUCAGUGCAAUCAUUAUUAUGGGAAUGAAUCAGUUCCUUUAAUGAUGUAUGCUACACAAGGUUUAAUACUCUUGGUUCUGUCUGGGGUCACUGUGGAGCUGAUGGUACCAAUUACAUUCCUUGCACUACUGAGAAUGCAUUCUGUGGUUCACUCCAGUGUAAUGGUGGCAGAAUAAUAUUUAAUAAUGUUAAUUCAAGGAGCAGUUUGACAGCUUAUACUAGAUUUGCUAGUGGUCAAGAGUGUAGGAGUGUCACUACACGUGCUGAUGCUGAUGAAGUCAGUCCUGGUUUAGUGGUUGAUGGGGCUAGCUGUGGAACUGACAGGAUAUGUGUUAGUCAGAGCUAUGUAUCAGUUUCAUCACUGGAGGGAGUCAGCUCUUGUCCUAUUGGAAGUAAUGGACAGACAUGCUCUGGAAAUGGCGUGUGCAAUAAUUUAAACCAGUGCUCCUGUAAUGUUGGUUACACUGGUAGUGAUUGCAGUCAGAUACCUGGAACAACAACAGCAAC